AUUGAACGCUGGCGGCAGGCCUAACACAUGCAAGUCGAACGGUAACAGGAAGACGCUUGCUUCUUUGCUGACGAGUGGCGGACGGGUGAGUAAUGUCUGGGAAACUGCCUGAUGGAGGGGGAUAACUACUGGAAACGGUAGCUAAUACCGCAUAACGUCGCAAGACCAAAGAGGGGGACCUUCGGGCCUCUUGCCAUCGGAUGUGCCCAGAUGGGAUUAGCUAGUAGGUGGGGUAACGGCUCACCUAGGCGACGAUCCCUAGCUGGUCUGAGAGGAUGACCAGCCACACUGGAACUGAGACACGGUCCAGCCUCCUACGGGAGGCAGCAGUGGGGAAUAUUGCACAAUGGGCGCAAGCCUGAUGCAGCCAUGCCGCGUGUAUGAAGAAGGCCUUCGGGUUGUAAAGUACUUUCAGCGGGGAGGAAGGGAGUAAAGUUAAUACCUUUGCUCAUUGACGUUACCCGCAGAAGAAGCACCGGCUAACUCCGUG
rnacentral:rRNA from 1 species